AGUGGGAUAGCUGGGUCAAAUGGUGGUUCCAUUCCCAGUUUUCUGAGGAAUCUCCAUACUGCUUUCCAUAGUGGUUACACCAAUUUGCAGUCCCACCAGCAAU
rnacentral:pre_miRNA from 1 species